AUUGAACGCUGGCGGCAUGCUUUACACAUGCAAGUCGAACGGUAACAGGCCUUCGUGUGCUGUCGAGUGGCGAACGGGGGAGUAAUGCAUCGGAACGUACCCAGAGGUGGGGGAUAACGCAGCGCAAGCGGAGCUAGUACCGCAUGUGGUCUGAGGUUUAAAACGGGGUGCCGAGCAGCAAUGUUUGGCUUCUCGCGUUUGGAGCGGCCGAUGCCGGAUUAGCUAGUUGGUUGGGUAAAGGCCUACCAAGGCGACGAUACGUAGCUGACCUGAGAGGACGACCAGCCACACUGGGACUGAGACACGGCCCAGACUCCUACGGGAGGCAGCAGUGGGGAAUUUUCGACAAUGGGCGCAAGCCUGAUCCAGCAAUGCCGCGUGCGGGAAGAAGGCCUUCGGGUUGUAAAACGCUUUUAGCAGGAACGAACCGGUGUCUGCUAAUACCGGGCGCUAAUGACGGUACCUGCACAAUAAGCACCGGCUAACUACGUG
rnacentral:rRNA from 1 species